ensembl:rRNA 5S_rRNA 5S ribosomal RNA
GCCAGCAGCCAUAUCACCCUGCAACUCACACCUGGCAACCCACUGAACCUCAGCAGGUGUGAGCCUGGUCAGUACCUGGAUGGGAGACCUCCUGGGAAAAACUAAGGUUGCUGUUGGAA